CCAUCGUGCAGUCACAACAAAAUCGCGCAUGCAACUGAAUCGAGGAUUCGGUGCACUGUAUUUAUCCAACGCUUGCGCAUACUUUGUCAAAGGAUAUGCGCCGAUCGAUUUGAUACAGUUAAUGAAACUUAUUGAUAAUAAUGAAAUUUGCGGAUCAUCUGUGCAGUACAUCAAUGUGCGAUCAACCAAAUUAUUUUCAACAAAAAAAAAUACACAAAAAUUAUAGAUUUUGAAAACGAAAAUCUUAACAAAUAUAAUUAAAUUUGGAAAAUAGCAUACCGCAAGAAUGCAAUAGCUAAACAUGCAUAUACUCAAAAUAUUCUUGAACAUUUCCAUGAAGCAUAUUGGACUCAAUAGAUGUUCAGUACGUUCUAGGAAACUUUAGUUAAUAUGUAAUUAGAGAAAAUCUCUAAAGGAAGAUAUAUAAAUAGAUAAAAAGAGAAAGAAGUAGAAACAGAAAGAAAUUAUACAAAAAAUAUUACCUUAGAAUUCUUAAAUGAUGUUCGAUGAUUACACUUAUUUCAUCAAUGCGUGUAUUCUUACUUUCUUUUUGUGGCUGAUUUACAAAUUCUUCGACCCACGUAAUCAUUAUAGUUAACUGACCAAUAGCGUGAUAUGCAAAUACUGUAGCAAGACUGAAAGCGAUAACAACAGUAGCACUACUUGUAUAUGAUGUCAAAUAUUGCAAACUAAGGAUGAUACCAUGCCCUGGAUUAGUAUCAACUGGAAGUUUAUAAGUUGGAAACGAUUAUCAACCAAAGAUCGUUACAAGAAUUCCAAACUGUUCACAAUUGAGUAACCAAACUAUAAGCACUUGAAUAAUGGAAUAUCACAAAUCCAAUCAAGCAUCAAAUAUACGAUUUUAAAGGAUAGAAUGACAUUGUUUCGAAAAAGCAUGAGACUAUCAAAUUCGAUUGCACUUUUAUGCUUAAUGUAUUUUUUGAUGGUUUACGCGAAAUGAAAAUGUACUUCGAGAAACUGAACGAAUCGAUCAUUUUGAUUUUAAGGUCGAAAUCUCCUGUUUUAUCGAGAAGAGCAUACUGAAAUGCAAGAUACUAGUAAGAGAUACAUUAGAGAGAUAUUAUUAAUAUAUGGAUCACAAAAUGAAUUUCCUUCUCAGUGAGAGAAGAAUCUAUCAACAAUUAACAACUUAUCUGAAUAUCCAAUCUCUAUUAUAAAUGAAUGGUAAGUUUGUAA